UACGUAGGGUGCGAGCGUUGUCCGGAAUUAUUGGGCGUAAAGGGCUCGUAGGCGGUUUGUCGCGUCGGGAGUGAAAACUCAGGGCUUAACCCUGAGCCUGCUUCCGAUACGGGCAGACUAGAGGUAUGCAGGGGAGAACGGAAUUCCUGGUGUAGCGGUGAAAUGCGCAGAUAAUCAGGAGGAACACCGGUGGCGAAGGCGGGUCUCUGGGCCGAUAUUGACGCUGAGGAGCGAAAGCGUGGGGAGCAAACAGG
rnacentral:rRNA from 1 species